CCUACGGGAGGCAGCAGUGGGGGAUAUUGCACAAUGGGGGCAACCCUGAUGCAGCGACGCCGCGUGAGCGAUGGAGUACUUCGGUAUGUAAAGCUCUGUCAGCAGGGAAGAGAAUGACGGUACCUGACCAAGAAGCCCCGGCUAAAUACGUGCCAGCAGCCGCGGUAAUACGUAUGGGGCAAGCGUUAUCCGGAUUUACUGGGUGUAAAGGGAGCGUAGGCGGCAGGGCAAGCCUGAUGUGAAAGCCCGGGGCGCAACCCCGGGACUGCAAUGGGAACUGCGCCGCUGGAGGGACGGAGGGGCAGGCGGAAUUCCUAGGGUAGCAGGGGAAUGCGUAGAUAUUAGGGGGAAAACCAGUGGCGAAGGCGGCCUGCUGGACGGUGUACUGACGCUGAGGCUCGAAAGCGUGGGGAGCAAACAGGAUUAGAUACCCCGGUAGUC
rnacentral:rRNA from 1 species